rnacentral:rRNA from 1 species
AACGAACGCUGGCGGCAUGCCUAACACAUGCAAGUCGAACGAGACCUUCGGGUCUAGUGGCGCACGGGUGCGUAACGCGUGGGAACCUGCCCUUAGGUUCGGAAUAACUCCCCGAAAGGGGUGCUAAUACCGGAUAAUGUCUUCGGACCAAAGAUUUAUCGCCUUUGGAUGGGCCCGCGUUGGAUUAGCUAGUUGGUAGGGUAAAAGCCUACCAAGGCGACGAUCCAUAGCUGGUCUGAGAGGAUGAUCAGCCACACUGGGACUGAGACACGGCCCAGACUCCUCGGGGAGGCAGGAGUGGGGAAUUGUGAACAAGGGGCAAGAGCCUGAUCCAGCAAUGCCGCGUGAGUGAAGAGGGCUUUGGGGUUGAAAACCUCUUUUCCCCGGGAUGAUAAUGACAGUACGGGGAAAAUAAGCCCCGGCUACCCCCGUG